GUGGCGCUGUUGAGGGACUUGGGUGUGCAGGUGGGAGGGGCCUAGUGGCUCAGGGAAGGCCACGUGGCUGCUGUUUGUACUCUCCGGGUUGGGGGCUGCACUGGGCUGUGAUGUGGGUAGCCCUGAGCUGGGCUUUCUGGUUGGAGCUGGGGUGCAAGCUCUGGCCCUAGUCCUGGGGUCCUACCCUACUGUCAGGCACUGGCUAGGGGCCGGGUCUUUCUGGUCAGAGGUGUGGGUCUGACUUCAUCACCUGGGCCUGAUCCUGUCCUCAGUCUACACAGCAUUUGAAAUGGGCACCGUGGUGUCCUCAUUCCUAUUGGGGAAUGGGGCAGAUGGUGACCCGAGUGUCUUCUCUCUGUUGUCUGUCCAGGGACAGCAGCUGUUUGCCAGUGCCUGCCAGUCAGUAGGUCAGUGGUAUGGCAUGGGAGUAGGGGGCAAAAGUGGCCUCAAUUUGCAAGUGACUGAGCUGACACCUUUCUUGCCACUGGCGAACUGUGAAUAGUGACCAUUCCAUCAUUCUCCUUUUUUCCUUCAUUUAUUGGAAAAACAUAUAUUGAGCAUCUACCAUAUACCAAGCUGCUGUGUGCUGGCCACCAGGGUUACAGCAGUAAGAAGACAAAUGCAUUCCCUGCCCUCUACUCUGUAGAGGAGAUAGGGCUACAAGAGGCAUGGACUCCCUGGACUAAGGAUAGGUCAUGGGGGAGCUCAUUUAAUCUCCCAGGUCAGGAAAGUCUCUUACUGUAUUCAACUCAACUUAGCAAACAUGUUCUGAGAACUCACUAUGUGCCAGGCUCUAUGCCAGCUGCUGUCCUUAGGGAGUUCUCUGUCUAGUGGGAGAACAUAGAUACCUAAGACAGAAGCAUACAUGGUACAGGGGAGGGGUCAGGGACAAGAUGUCUUGAAGUCUGAACUGGGUUUUUAAGUGUGAGUAGGAGUUUGCCAGGUAAACUGGAGUUGCCAGCAAACUGAUAUGUUUGCUUGGGCCUAGUCAGUGUUCAGUGGUGGACUGUAAUUGGUCAAUACUGAGAGCACAUAUUGUGCAAAGGGUUUUUGAUGGGUCUGUGGUCAAGAUAGAGGAGUAAGCACCUGUGAGCCCCAGGGCUCCUCUUGAGGCCACAGUCUCUGCUCUUUGACUGAUGAUGGCCUUGCUGAGUGACUGAGGCAGCAGCAGGGAGCAGAAGGGACUGGGGGUGGGGCAGGCAGCUGGCUUCUAAGUUGGCGUCUUUCUAUUUGUGCCUUUUUCCCACACCACACUCAUUGCCGUUCCUGCCUGUGUUAGGUGAGUGUUCAUAUGUGAAUGAGCAAUCAUGGCACCAGCCCCCUGCUGGGGGUACAAAAGCCCAGGGUGCUCAGGGCCCUGCUGGAGAGGAAUGCCUGGGUGAUAAUCCCUGACCACCAGCCUGGGAGUCCAAGAAGGGAUUCCAGAAGCGUCUGUCCUAACACCAAGACCUGAUAGGCAGAGAGAUUCCAGGAGGUGUCAUAGGGAGUUGGGAAGGGAUCAUGUCUCUGGUCCUUGCCUUCAAAGGGUAUCUUGGCCUUAUGAGAGGAUCAAGAUGGGUACACAUCCCUCUCUCUCUCUCUCUCUUUUUUUUCUUAAUGGAGACAAGGUCUUGCUCCUUCACCCAGGCUAUAGUGCAGUGGCACCAGCAUAGCUCACUGCAACCUUCAACUGCUGGGCUCAAGCAAUCCUCCCACCUUGGCCUCCCAAAGCACUGGGAUUACAGGUGUGAGCUGCCACACCCAGCCCACACUUCUCUUAAUAAGUCAUUGCUUAUUGUUGAAUUGUAGAUGGUUUCUUGGAGGGGGAGGUAUGGGAGACACAUCUUAACGGACGUCGUUCAGAGGUGGGACAGGCAUGGGAGUACCACAGCAGCAAUGCCAAGGCAGGGCAGCAGAGUUGCUUCUCAGUGUGGAGAUUGGGGAGCAGGCAGGCAGUAUAUUGAGUGAUGAGAACGCUGGGUCCCACACCACACAAAGACCUGGGUUCUUUAGAACCUGUGUAAUUGGCCGGGUGCGGUGGCUCACACCUGUAAUCCCAGCAUUUUGGGAGGCCGAGGCGGGCAGAUCACGAGGUCAGGAGAUCGAGACCAUCCUGGCUAACACGGUGAAACCCCGUCUCUACUAAAAAUACAAGAACUUAGCCGGGCGUGGCGGUGGGCGCCUGUAGUCCCAGCUACUCGGGAGGCUGAGGCAGGAGAAUGGCAUGAACACGGGAGGCGGAGCUUGCAGUGAGCCAAGAUCGCGCCACUGCACUCCAGCCUAGGUGACAGAGCGAGACUCCGUCU
rnacentral:lncRNA from 1 species